UGGAAGAGAGUGGCGCAUGGCUUUGAUAAACGGUGGAAUUUUAAACAUACAUGUGGGGCGGUGGAUGGCAAACAUGGCAUUCUUGUCCCUCAC